rnacentral:rRNA from 1 species
AGCGAACGCUGGCGGCAGGCCUAACACAUGCAAGUCGAACGAGCCCUUCGGGGUUAGUGGCGGACGGGUGAGUAACACGUGGGAACGUGCCUUUAGGUUCGGAAUAACUCAGGGAAACUUGUGCUAAUACCGAAUGUGCCCUUCGGGGGAAAGAUUUAUCGCCUUUAGAGCGGCCCGCGUCUGAUUAGCUAGUUGGUGAGGUAAUGGCUCACCAAGGCUACGAUCAGUAGCUGGUCUGAGAGGAUGACCAGCCACAUUGGGACUGAGACACGGCCCAAACUCCUACGGGAGGCAGCAGUGGGGAAUAUUGGACAAUGGGCGCAAGCCUGAUCCAGCCAUGCCGCGUGAGUGAUGAAGGCCCUAGGGUUGUAAAGCUCUUUCACCGAUGAAGAUAAUGACUGUAGUCGGAGAAGAAGCCCCGGCUAACUUCGUGCCAGCAGCCGCCGUAAUAC